rnacentral:rRNA from 1 species
ACCCGCUGAACUUAAGCAUAUCAAUAAGCGGAGGAAAAGAAACUAACAAGGAUUCCCCUAGUAACUGCGAGUGAAGAGGGAAAAGCUCAAAUUUAAAAUCUGG